rnacentral:rRNA from 1 species
UGAGGAAUUUUCUGCAAUGGGCGAAAGCCUGACAGAGCAAUACCGCGUGAGGGAUGAAGGCCUAUGGGUUGUAAACCUCUUUUCUCAAGGAGGAAGACAUGACGUUACUUGAGGAAUAAGCAUCGGCUAACUCUGUGCCAGCAGCCGCGGUAAUACAGAGGAUGCAAGUGUUAUCCGGAAUUAUUGGGCGUAAAGCGCUUGCAGGUGGGCUUUUAAGUCUUUUGUUAAAUUUUUAGGCUUAACCUACAUUAUGCAAAAGAAACUAAUUGUCUAGAGUGUGGUAGAGGUAAAGGGAAUUUCCAGAGGAGCGGUGAAAUGCGUAGAUAUUGGAAAGAACACCAAUGGCGAAAGCACUUUACUGGGCCAAUACUGACACUGAGGAGCGAAAGCUAGGGGAGCA